ACAAAACACCCAAAAUUAAAUCUAAAUUCAAAAUCUCCGUAAACACCUCCUUCUCACGUCGAUACCAUCUCCGGCCAUCGAUCCGCUGCCGUCAUGUCGUCGACAAUAUCGGAAUCCUCCAAAUCGUGGCCGCGGAAAGGAUCCCUGCGAACCACAGUGGUGACUGAUUCAUGUUUUAUAGAUGAGAAAAAAUCGCAUCAUCAGUAUGAAACUCCACCGGGUUGCUGUUUACAACGCAUAACGAGGUUCAUUUUACACGAUGAAGAUGUGUAUUAUGAGAUAAGAAGUGGCCCAGUCUCAAGAUAAUAAAGGUUCUUGGCUUCUUAGAAACUUACAAACGAUGGUGGAGCCUAGACUUGACUGGGGACAUCAACUUUUUCAGUUAAAGUUUGUGGCUUUCUCAUCCUACGGUAAAGUCAUCAUUUAUGGACUUUGUGUCCCCACUUGUCUUAGUCUACAGCUCCUUCCAGGAAUCUUCCUGAUUGAUUGGUUUUUCUGAAAGACAUUUUCAGAUCUGCUCGUCUGAUGGCUCUUUCUGCUUUGCCUCGCCUUUGUGAACACCAUGUCUUUCCUAGCUUCCACGGGCCAGAUGUCCGUAGAGGCUUUCUCAGCUACUUACUGAAGGAGUUCAGGGAGAAAGGAAUCGACGUCUUCAUAGACAAUGACAUAGAGAGGAGCAAGUUGAUUGGUCCCGAGCUCACAGAAGCUAUAAGAGGAUCGUUAAUUGCAGUUGUCUUGAUCUCGAAGAACUACGCUUCAUCAACAUGGUGUCUGAACGAGUUGGCGGAGAUCAUGAAGUGCAGGGAUGAAGAUAAGCAGACGGUGGAGGUGAUUUUCUAUGAAGUGGAUCCAUCUGACGUGAAAAAGCAGAAGGGAGACUUCGGAGCUGUCUUUGAGAAAACUUGUGCAGAGAAGACAACGGAGGAAAUUGAGAGAUGGAGGAAAGCUUUGCAGAUUGUGGCUCAACUCGCUGGUUACCAUACAAGUAACUUUGAUGAUGAUGCAGCCAUGAUUGAAAGAAUUGUUAUUGAUGUUUCGAACAAGCUCAAUGAUUAUACAACAUCAAAUGAUUCCAACAGCUUGGUUGGGAUUGAUAUUCAUAUCGGAGAGAUAGAGUCAUUGUUGUCCUUAGAAUCAGCUGAAGUUCGGAUGGUUGGUAUCUGGGGCCCUGCUGGAAUUGGUAAGACGACCAUCGCCAGAGCUUUAUAUAGACAGCUCUCUAGUAAGUUUACACAUGCUGCUUUUAUUGAGAGUAUCAAAGGAAAGUUUGAGCUAAACUAUCGAGACGAGCACGCCUUCAUGUUGCAUUUACAAGAACAACUUUUGUCUAAGACUUUAAAUCAGAAAGAUCUAAAAAUAGGUCAUCUGGGUGUGGCAAAGGCAAGGCUGAAGAACAAGAAGGUGCUUGUCGUUCUUGAUGAUGUGGAUGACUUAAAGCAGCUAGAAGCUAUGACUGACAAAACUUGCUGGUUUGGGCCUCAAAGUAGGAUUAUCAUCACGACAAAGGAUAAAAAGCUUUUGGUAGCACAUGAGAUCAACCAUAUUUACCAAGUGGGUUUUCCAUCUACAUCUGAAGCUCUUGAAAUUCUCUGUCUGUCUGCUUUUCGUCAAAAUUCACCUUCAUUAGGGUUUGAGGACAUGGCCAUAGAAGUUACACGGCUCGCCGGCCGUCUUCCUUUGGGUCUACGUGUUUUUGGCGCUUAUCUGCGAGGAAUGUCCAAAGAUCAGUGGAUACAUGCAUUGCCUCGACUUAGGACGAGUCUUGAUGGGGAUAUUGAGAAAGUAUUAAGGUUCAGCUAUGAUGCUUUAUGCAAGGAAGAUCAAGAAUUGUUUCUUCAUAUAGCAUGUUUUCUCAAAGGUGAAUGGAUUACUGACGUGGUGGAGUGUCUUGCGGAGAGUCGUUUGAACGUCAACCACGGGCUCCAUGUGUUGUUCGAUAAAUGUUUCAUAUCUUUACGCAAAUGGGGACGGUUGGCGGUGCAUAAUUUGCUUGAGCAAUUGGCUAAAGAUAUUGUCCGUAAACAGUCUGAUAAUCCUGGGAAACGUCAGUUCUUGGUGGAUGCUCAGGACAUUUGUGAUGUACUCGAGGAAAAUGCUGGCACUGAAACUAUUAGAGGAAUAGAUUUUGACUUAUCGGAAGUCAGGGGAAACUUAAUCAUUGACGAGCGAGCCUUUGAAGGGAUGUCUAGGCUCCAGUUCUUAAGAUUCCGGAAACGGGGUUUGUAUGAAAACACCAAACUUCUCUUACCCCAGGGUCUGAAGUUUAGAGCUAGUAAACUUAGAUUUCUUGAAUGGGAUCAGUUUCCGCUUACAUGUUUUCCUCGUGAGUUUCAACCACGGCGCCUUGUCAAACUUAUGAUGAAGCACAGCAAGCUUGAAAAGCUGUGGGAAGGACCUAUUCCGCUCCCAUGUCUGAAGCUGAUGGAGCUGUCUAGUUCCAGCUACCUCAAAGAACUUCCGGAUCUGUCUAAUGUCACUAAUCUUAAGACACUGAAUGCUUGUUAUUGCUCAAGUCUGUCGGAGAUCUCCUCCAUUGGGAAGUCCACUAGUCUCGAGGAGUUGAAUCUCGCUUGUUGCUUCGAGUUGAUUGUGAUCCCUUCUUCCAUCGGGAAUGCCAUUAAUCUCGAGAUAUUGAAUGUCGGGAUAUGCCAGGGUCUGGUUGAACUCCCAUCCUCUAUUUGGAGCCUCAAGAAGUUAAAGAAACUGUUAAUUUUUGGAUGCUCAAAGCUAAACCAUUUGGGGUCACAGUUGAGAAGCUUUCCUGAUUUUUCCGGAAACAUUACAGAAUUCGAUAUGAGUAAUACAGCGAUAGAAGAAUUCCCUUCAUCAAUCAUGGCUUUUUCGUGUCUUCGUAAGCUCUCAACAAUAACUGCGGAAAGCUUCAAGGUGUUUCCAGAUGUUCCUGACACCAUCGAAGUGAUACAUUUGCACAAUGCGGGAAUAGAAGAAAUUCCUCCCUCGAUUCAGAAUCUCUCACGUCUCACUGAACUGAGCAUGCUUAGCUGCAAGAAGUUAAAGGUCCUUCCAACCAACGUCAACCUGCAAUCUCUCCAUUCACUUGAUCUCAGUUCCUGCACACAAUUGAGAACGUUUCCAGAGAUAUCUACAAGCUUUAGAUUUCUUAAUCUGAGCAAUACUGCUAUAGAAGAAGUCCCUUCAUCCAUAUGGUCUUGGUCCAGUCUUCUUGAAUUGAUCUUGGAAGAUUGCAACAGCCUUCUGGUGUUCCAUAGUUUUCCUGACAACAUCGAAGAGUUGGACUUGGACUUGAGCAAUACGGGAACAGAUUUCCAAGGUGAGGGUCUGGACAGUGUUCAAACAUUAGGUAUAAACCUCAAAGGGUGCAAGAAUCUUGGUUCAUUGCCCCACAUUCCGCAUUUCGUCUCAACCCUUGAUGCAUCUAACUGUGAGUCGCUGGAGAGUAUAGAUGGCUUCUUUACCAAUCCAGAAAGAUGUCUCAGCUUUGCUAAUUGUUUCAAGCUGAGCGAAGCAGCGAGAGAACUCAUCGAGGAAUCGGAUUACAAGUUUGCGCUCUUACCUGGUGGAGAACUGCCUGCAGACUUUGAUCACCGAGCAAGAGAGGGUUUACUAACUGUCAAUUUGUAUCCGAGCCCUCUUCCUUUAUUCUUCAGAUUUAAAGCUUGUCUUUUGCUGCUUCAUAGACAAUAUGAUGAGGACGAGGAUGAAAGUGAGGAGGAUGAGGACGAGGAUGAAAGUGAGGAUGAGGAGGACGAGGAUGCCAGUGAGGAGGAUGAGGACAAUAAAUUGAUGUGCGACAUCCGGUGCGUUCAGAAUGGCGUCGAUAUUGGACGUGGAUCAUGCAAGUACAAGCUGCCCGCAAUACUGGGAUCCAAGGAGCAUCUGUAUUUCUUGAAAUCUUCCAUUUCACUAAACCUUCCUAAAACAGGUGUGAAUUUCAGCGAGCUUAAUUUUGAGUUCAAGACCACUAGUAAAUACUGGGAUGUAAAAGACUUUGCUGUACAAAUCUUGGAAGACCCUGAUGUUCAUGAUGACCAAGGAUGCUGUGAAGAUACUCACAACGAAGCUGAGUACAAUGAAACUGCUGACAUCAAGAUAGAGAAACUUACACGCUGGAACAAUGUGAAGAAGAACCUAUUUAAGAGGUUUCCGUGCGACAUGGAUGAAAGAGUAGAGAGGGCAGAAUAGCGACGAAGAAGAGGGAUUCGAAGAAAGUGCGUAAAAAUUUGAGUUCAAAAACCGAAAAGUUGAAACCAACGAUGAAAUAUUCAGUCGUGCGGCAUAAGUAGGAUAUUGAAAGUUAGGUUCCAAUGGUUCUUUCAAUUUCACGCCAGCGCGAUUUUUCCAAAGCCAAUGAAUCAAGAGUAAUUGCAACGUUGUGCCACUGGAAUGUAAUGCCACACAAUGAUUGAACCAGUGUGCCUCACUCACAUGUGUAGCCUUCUCAACUUCAACCCCGACCAAUACUCGUAAUGAUCUAUUGGAUGGAACCCCUAUGUUGUGCUUUCUCAACUCAUGCCUUUCUUAUCGGUUUUACUAAGUUUUGCGACUAAUAUCCCUUUUUUUACUGCAGCGGACAGCUCAAUUUGUGAAUUAAUUUAGAAGUUAUGUAUGGUCCAUCCUAUUAGUUUAAUAUACCGCUAUAUUAAUAUAGUUUUUUACAUUUGAUUGUUUUGUAUUUUUCCACAAACGCCUAAGCACAUUAUUGUCUGGAAAAUGUUAAAUGCAUGUAUACGCCACAACAACUACAAUACUAUAAUGUUUGUAAUCUAGUAUAGUUAACCAUU